CGAUGACUCGGGGAUAGCCUUUCGAAAGAAAGAUUAAUACCCGAUGGCAUAGUUCUUCCGCAUGGUGGAACUAUUAAAGAAUUUCGGUCAUCGAUGGGGAUGCGUUCCAUUAGGUUGUUGGCGGGGUAACGGCCCACCAAGCCUUCGAUGGAUAGGGGUUCUGAGAGGAAGGUCCCCCACAUUGGAACUGAGACACGGUCCAAACUCCUACGGGAGGCAGCAGUGAGGAAUAUUGGUCAAUGGACGAGAGUCUGAACCAGCCAAGUAGCGUGAAGGAUGACUGCCCUAUGGGUUGUAAACUUCUUUUAUACGGGAAUAAAGUGAGGCACGUGUGCCUUUUUGUAUGUACCGUAUGAAUAAGGAUCGGCUAACUCCGUGCCAGCAGCCGCGGUAAUACGGAGGAUCCGAGCGUUAUCCGGAUUUAUUGGGUUUAAAGGGAGCGUAGGCGGACGCUUAAGUCAGUUGUGAAAGUUUGCGGCUCAACCGUAAAAUUGCAGUUGAUACUGGGUGUCUUGAGUACAGUAGAGGCAGGCGGAAUUCGUGGUGUAGCGGUGAAAUGCUUAGAUAUCACGAAGAACUCCGAUUGCGAAGGCAGCUUGCUGGACUGUAACUGACGCUGAUGCUCGAAAGUGUGGGUAUCAAACAGGAUUAGAUACCCUGGUAGUCCACACAGUAAACGAUGAAUACUCGCUGUUUGCGAUAUACAGUAAGCGGCCA
rnacentral:rRNA from 1 species